rnacentral:rRNA from 1 species
UACGUAGGGGGCGAGCGUUGUCCGGAUUUAUUGGGCGUAAAGAGCGUGUAGGCGGCCAGGUAGGUCCGUUGUGAAAACUCGAGGCUCAACCUCGAGACGUCGGCGGAAACCCUCUGGCUAGAGUCCGGAAGAGGAGAGUGGAAUUCCCGGUGUAGCGGUGAAAUGCGCAGAUAUCGGGAAGAACACCCGUGGCGAAGGCGGCUCUCUGGGACGGUACUGACGCUGAGACGCGAAAGCGUGGGGAGCGAACAGG